rnacentral:rRNA from 1 species
UUACCAGGUCUUGACAUCCCGAUGCUAUUCUAGAGAUAGAAGUUACUUCGGUACAUCGGUGACAGGUGGUGCAUGGUUGUCGUCAGCUCGUGUCGUGAGAUGUUGGGUUAAGUCCCGCAACGAGCGCAACCCCUAUUGUUAGUUGCCAUCAUUCAGUUGGGCACUCUAGCGAGACUGCCGGUAAUAAACCGGAGGAAGGUGGGGAUGACGUCAAAUCAUCAUGCCCCUUAUGACCUGGGCUACACACGUGCUACAAUGGUUGGUACAACGAGUUGCGAGUCGGUGACGGCGAGCUAAUCUCUUAAAGCCAAUCUCAGUUCGGAUUGUAGGCUGCAACUCGCCUACAUGAAGUCGGAAUCGCUAGUAAUCGCGGAUCAGCACGCCGCGGUGAAUACGUUCCCGGGCCUU